UACGUAGGGUCCGAGCGUUGUCCGGAAUUAUUGGGCGUAAAGGGCUCGUAGGCGGUUUGUCGCGUCGGAAGUGAAAACUCAGGGCUCAACCCUGAGCGUGCUUACGAUACGGGCAAACUAGAGGUAUGCAGGGGAGAACGGAAUUCCUGGUGUAGCGGUGGAAUGCGCAGAUAUCAGGAGGAACACCGGUGGCGAAGGCGGUUCUCUGGGCAUUACCUGACGCUGAGGAGCGAAAGCAUGGGGAGCGAACGGG
rnacentral:rRNA from 1 species